ensembl:lncRNA novel transcript
GGCUGGGCCUUUGUCUCUCGCUCCCACCAGAGCUUGGAAUCCGUCUCUGCUCUUCUGCAUUCUCCACCUCGGGAGCCCCUGGGGACUCUGUGACGGCCUCUGUUGCCCUGUGAUCUGCAGGUCCGGAGAGACGCACAGCUAAGAUGUCAGGACAUCCUGGAAGCUGGGAAAGGGUCUUGCCAUCUCUAAGCUGGACCUGGUGACCUUUUUGGAGGGAAAGAAAGAGCCCUGGACUGUGAAGAGUGAGGAGACCAUAGCUGCACAGCCAGAGAUGGGGUUCCAUCAUGUUUUCCAGGCUGAUCUCAAACUCCCACGGUCAAGCGAUCUGCUGGCCUCGGCCUCUCAAGUCCAGAUGUAUAAUCUCAUCCCUGAACAUUUCUGAUGGUGUGAUUAUGACAUGUGACUUUAUCUGGCAACAGAGUGAGUUGUUGCUCCCGCCUGAGCCCAGCCCCCAGAAAGGAUUGUGACAUAUCGUUGGACCCAGAAUUGAGAAGGCAUUGAGACAUGGCUGGGCUCAGCACUAAGAAGAUGUGAGUCCUCUGCCUGAAGCCUGACCACAGGGAGCAUUGUGACACAUUUCUUGACCCAUUACAAUCUCUUCUACGGGCAAAGCUGAGAUGGAGUUUUGCUCCUUUUGCCCAGGCUGGAUUGCAAUGGUGCAAUCUCAGCUCACCACAACCUUCAUCUCCCAGGUUCAAGCAAUUCUUCAGCCUCAGCCCCCUGAGUAUCUGGGAUUACAGGUGGAAUUGUGACAUAUAACUUGGCCAAGCACACAGAUGUAAUGGUGUGGUGACUCUCAUACCUAGAACUGGGACCUGUGCAGGAUUGUUAAUUCAUUACUGGACAUUCCUGUGGGUGUGAUUGUUACAUAUGCCUAUGUUCAGCACCCGAGUGAUUUGAUUUUGCUGCCUGGUCUCAGUCCAAAUGUAAGAUUGUGAUUUAUCGCUGAAUCCAGCACCUCGGUGAUUUGACUCUCCCUUUUUUUGUGGGAGGGAUCCUGCAAAUUUUGGGUAUUGUCAAUUAUUGCUGAAUCCUGUACCCAUGUUAUGACUCUCCCAAAUGUGCCUUACCUGUUGUGGCACAAUAUAUCACAUUAGACAUUGUUAAAUAUUGUUGGGUUCAACACCUGGGUGAUGGAUGUAACUUUUUUUCUGGGCCUGCCUACAGGGGACCUUGUGACAUAACUCAAUGCCCAUCAUCAUGGUAAUGUUACUCUCUUCUCCUGCCUGAUCUCUGCUCACAGAGAAAUUGUGACACAUCACUGGCCUAGCAUCUAGGUGAUGUGACUCUCCUCUUUUUUUCAGGCUCUGCAUAUUUGGGUAUUGUGACAUAUUGCUGAACUCAACACCUAAGGGAUGGGAGUCUCCUACCUAGGCCCUUCCUACAGGGGACAUUGUGACAUGUCUCUGCAUUCCUCAUCCAGGAGAUGUGACUCUCCUUUUCUGCCUACACCCUGCCUACACAGAAAGUUGUGGCAUAUUGCUGUGGUCAGCAACCAGAUGAUAUAUUUCUCCUGCCUGGGUCUUUAUUACAGGAAAGAUGAUUGACAUAUUACUGGGCCCAGCAUCCAGAUGAUGUGACUCUCUUCUUCUGUUGGUCCUUGCUUACAGGGAAACUGUAGCAUAUUGCUACACCCAACACCUAGCUUAUGUGAUUCUUCUUUUAGGUUUGCCUUCAGGGAACAUUGUGACAUAUUGCUGGGCCCUGCACUGAUAAUUUGUGACUCUUCUGCCUGUGAUUUGCCCACUUGGGGCAUUGUGACAUAUUGCUGGGUUUAACACUCAGGUGAUGUAACUUUUAUGCCUAGGCCUUGCUUACAGGAGGCAUUUUGAAAUGUCUUUGUGGCUGGGCAUGGUGGCUCAUGUCUGUAAUCCCAGCGCUUGGGGAGGCCAAGGUGGGCAGAUCACAAAGUCAGGAGUUCGAGACCAGCCUGGUCAACAUGGUGAAAACCUGUCUCUACUAAAAC